rnacentral:lncRNA from 1 species
CUCCGCAACUCCUGCCGCUUCUCUAACACGUCCUCCUCUUGACAGGCACAAAAAGGGACUCCGCGGGUGUGGAAAAGAGGGGCGGCCAACCACCCAGCAUCUUGUACUCGGGUCUCUCAUGGCACAAGAAAGGAUUGCAGAGUCAUGGAGACCAGGAGCUCCACUACAACCAGGCUAUCUCCAACCUCCCGUGCUCUUCCUGUCAGCUCCACCUUCCACACCGUCAUGGGCAACGGGUCAGCUCUGCACCACGUGGCACCUCUCACGGUCUGCAGAGGGACCUACAACUUCCCCAGAGCUGCGCACACCCAGAGCUCGGCACCACACACCUGCGCUCGAAGCUCUCAUGCCCUCCAACACCAUGGCGACGUGCCAAGAGACAUGGAGAAAGGCAGCUCAGAAAUACACCACAUCUUUCUAACCUCUCGUGCCACUUAAGGUACACACAACUUCCCCGUAAGCUUGCAGAAAGGCAGCCCCGCACCUCUUGCCUCCUCUCUAACCCAUCUUGCCCUACCUUGCAGAUGGAA